ensembl:lncRNA
GGAGACGCUCCGUCUGAGCUCAAGACUAAAUCAUGGAUCAGAAGGUGUGUAAAACUUGCUGAGCUGACAGAACAUGGCUGUUUUGCAGAGUGCUCAUUUUACUGUGCUGAAUUUCUCUCUCUCUUUCUGUGUGUGUGUGUGUGGUGUGUGUUUUUGCAGUCCACUUCACCCCAGAGACAUGCGGUGAAAAGCAGGUCGAAGUCUACAGAGGAAGUCCAGCAAGCUAAAAAGGCCUUCCACAUCCCCCAGAAAUCACUGCCUGGAGGGUCAGAGCUGGAAAAGGUGAAGGAGGGACCAGAAGAAAAUGUGACUCCAGCAUCAUCCACCGAAGAGCUAAAGUGAUGCUGCCAUUAAUCUGUGUUUCUCUCACAAACAUAAAGAAAAUGCUUGGUUUUAAAAACAAGGUUUGGUAUGGUACAGUUAAAGCAUUGGCUCCUUCUUUUGUUCUUUUCUUUUUGUUAGAUUUUCAGUACAGCUCAGCACAUGCAUAAUUAUGAAAACUGUCGAUCUGCAGCACAUUCAGUCUGCAUCUCUGUACACUGACAGUACAGAUAAAAACACAAAAAAAAAUCUAUAAACACAAUGCUUUCACUAUGAACAUAAGGGCAUGUGUGCUUUUACAGUAAAGAAGCUCAAGUUAAAUUUAAAUCAGUUUAAAUUGAUAGUAUCUUUGCUAUUUUUUAUUACGUCAUCACAAUUUCUGCACAGCCAGUAGGUGCUGCUGUUAAUGUGUUGGCAGUCAUAUUAAUAUUCUGGGUGUCUGACAUCAUAAAUCUACAGAGCCCCUAAAGGGACAUUGUGAUGGAAAAAAUAUGAGAUGGAAGAAUUAUAUUUCAAUGCUUUUGUACUGAAUGCUUUUGCAUUUUAUAGGAAGUUAUAGGAAGCAAAGUUAGUGCAAACACAGUUUCUUGAGGGAAUGAAAUGUUUUACAAAUAAAUGUAAUUUUUUCCUCCCAUCUAUUUUUUUUCAAACCAUCUUGUCUUUUUAGGGGCUCCAUAGAAUCCCUCAGAUAUCAAAAUUAGUCUUUUUUUUUUUUUCAAUUUAGUUUCUUUUGUGUUCUGAAAGUUACAGCACAUUAUUUUCUAAGAACGCUUAAUGCAGGCUUGUUUCUACAAUCUAUGUUUGUUGAAUGUUUUUCACUCCACACUAGCUCUCUCAUGUAUUUGGGCUCCUGUAAGUCAAAUAGUGUCAGACGCUCAUUCGUUGACUUAUUUAUUGGCAUCAGCUGAACAGAGCUGACAUACAGUAUGAGUCAGCUGAAGAUGUUGUGUAAGUGUUUACAGUAUCCAUAAGUUAAACAGUUUGUGCUAAUAAAGUUUUAACCACUCAUCAUGCUAAAGUUCAGUGAUGAAGCAUCCCAGCAUCUCACACCUGUAAACAAGUUACAUGAAAUCUGUGCAGUCUGUGUAAUGCAAGCAGUUUCUGACCAAAAUAAAAUUAAACUACCAUCAACAAGUGUUAAGGUAAGAUUUAAGUAACCCAUAAAAAAAAAAAAGUCAUCCAGGAUGUAUCACUUGCUCAGCAAUGGAUCCUCUGCAGUGAAUGGGUGCCAUCAGAAUGAGAGUCCAAACAGCUAAUAAAAACAUCACAGUAAUCUACAAGUAAUUCACACCACUCCAGUUCAUCAGUUAUUGUCUUGUGAAUUCGUUAGGAAGUUUCAUUUGGGCGUUUUUCCCCUUAGACUGCUUCUUCUGUCUAAAACACCAGUCUUUUAUCCAUAAUAUUUCUUUCUUCAGUGAAAAAGUCAUCUCGUCUGAAUCUGGAGAGAAAUAUGCACAGAUUAAGCAGCAUUUACAAGUGAAAACAGUCUAAAACGGUUCUAAACCAUUAAGUUGGUGGAUUUUAAUGUGAGAGUUUUUCACAGGAGGAAGUGUUAGUAUUGAUUAUGGUCUUGUAAUUUGCCCAGAAGCGAUGGUUUCAAGUUAAAAUGCUUUAAUGAUGGAUUUGUUUACAAACAUGCAGCUUUUCAUGACACAAGAUGUUAACUGAUGGGCUGGAGUUGUGUGGAUUAUUGUGAUGUUUUAUCAGCUGUUUGGACUCAUUCUGACGGCACCCAUUCACUGCAGAGGAUCCGUCAGUAAGCAAGGGGGAUGUAAUGCUACAUUUCUCCAAAUCUAUCAAUGACGAAAACAAACUCAUCUACAUCUUGGAUGGUCUGAGGGUGAGAAUAUUUUUUGCCAAAUUUCAAAUUGUGGGUGAUCUAAUCUUUCAAGAUAACUUUUAAGCAGCCUGUUUGUGCUUCUACAACACAGAUUUGUUGAAUAAUUUCUCAUGGACUGCAUUUUUUAAAGAAUGAAUUCAGUUUUUAAAUAUGGUUCCCAUUUCUGUAAAAAACCAAACUCAGUUUUGUGUACAGUGAAUGUGGCCUAAACAAUGCUAAACACUUUUUUUAGUCUUUUUUUUUUUUUUUUAAUGGCUGUCCUCAGAUUAAAUUUUUUCAGAGGUGAACCGGUGCAUCAUGCUGUCUGACUGCUGACACUGCAGGCCUCUCCACAAUAAUUAAUCUGACCAGACCACACAUGACUGACCACUGACCACAGCUCCAUGAGCUAAUGCUAAAAUCAUUCAUUUUGCUGCAAUACUUGAUCCAGUUUUUAAUCUUCAGUUACUAAUGUCAAGUUUAGUUGUGUUUAAAGCAAUAUAAUUUAAUAAACCCAUGAUUUUAAAGUUCAAACUUGAGCAGUACAUUUUGUACUGGCAAAUGCCACAUUUUCUUUAGUAAAUAUGAACUGUUUUAUUAUUACAGCGGUCCUGAAGUCUUAAACAUGGCAUGUUGUAUUUGUGCUUUUCAUUUUGAGUAUUUAAACCUAACACGUGUGUACGUGUCUAACACCUAGUACAGUCAAGAUUAGCAAAAACAUUUGACAAAAGUAGUUCAACACCAAAACUUGUUUAGUUGCCCUGAGGUAAUGGC